UGCAAGUCGAGGGGUAGAGGCCUUCGGGCCUUGAGACCGGCGCACGGGUGCGUAACGCGUAUGCAAUCUGCCUUCCACAGAGGGAUAGCCCAGAGAAAUUUGGAUUAAUACCUCAUAGCAUCAUGACCCGGCAUCGGGAUAUGAUUAAAGUCACAACGGUGGAAGAUGAGCAUGCGUCCCAUUAGCUAGUUGGUAAGGUAACGGCUUACCAAGGCUACGAUGGGUAGGGGUCCUGAGAGGGAGAUCCCCCACACUGGUACUGAGACACGGACCAGACUCCUACGGGAGGCAGCAGUGAGGAAUAUUGGUCAAUGGGCGCAAGCCUGAACCAGCCAUGCCGCGUGCAGGAUGACGGUCCUAUGGAUUGUAAACUGCUUUUGUACGGGAAGAAACCCUCCUACGUGUAGGAGCUUGACGGUACCGUAAGAAUAAGGAUCGGCUAACUCCGUGCCAGCAGCCGCGGUAAUACGGAGGAUCCAAGCGUUAUCCGGAAUCAUUGGGUUUAAAGGGUCUGUAGGCGGUCUUGUAAGUCAGUGGUGAAAGCCCAUCGCUCAACGGUGGAACGGCCAUUGAUACUGCUGGACUUGAAUUAUUGGGAAGCAACUAGAAUAUGUAGUGUAGCGGUGAAAUGCUUAGAGAUUACAUGGAAUACCAAUUGCGAAGGCAGGUUGCUACCAAUGGAUUGACGCUGAUGGACGAAAGCGUGGGUAGCGAACAGGAUUAGAUACCCUGGUAGUCCACGCCGUAAACGAUGGAUACUAGCUGUUGGGCGCAAGUUCAGUGGCUAAGCGAAAGUGAUAAGUAUCCCACCUGGGGAGUACGAACGCAAGUUUGAAACUCAAAGGAAUUGACGGGGGCCCGCACAAGCGGUGGAAGCAUGUGGUUUAAUUCGAUGAUACGCGAGGAACCUUACCAAGGCUUAAAUGCAGACUGACCGGUUUGGAAACAGACCUUUCGCAAGACGGUCUACAAGGUG
rnacentral:rRNA from 1 species